AUGAGUUAAUAGUUACUUAUGAGUUACCUUUGGUUUAGAUUCUUAGUGAAAUUUAUUUAAGCAUGUCCUGUUUAUGUGAAGCAUGAUCCACACGGGAACCUAAAAGAAACUCUGUAU